rnacentral:rRNA from 1 species
CAGAGGGUGCGAGCGUUGUCCGGAAUCACUGGGCGUAAAGGGCGCGUAGGUGGCGCUCCAAGUCUGUGGUGAAAGCUCGAUGCUCAACAUCGAGUCGGCCACGGAGACUGGAGGGCUGGAGCACUGUAGGGGCAGAUGGAAUUCCGGGUGUAGCGGUGGAAUGCGUAGAGAUCCGGAAGAACACCGGUGGCGAAGGCGGUCUGCUGGGCAGUUGCUGACACUGAGGCGCGACAGCGUGGGGAGCAAACAGGAUUAGAUACCCUGGUAGUCCACGCCGUAAACGAUGGGCACUAGAUGCUUGGGGGAGCGACCCCCUGAGUGUCGUCGCUAACGCAGUAAGUGCCCCGCCUGGGGAGUACGGCCGCAAGGCUG